CUGAGUUAGCCCCCUGGGGGCUGUGCCUUUGUCCCGAUUGUGUGUCUCCGCCACAGCAGAGCCGGGCAGCCCCCAGAGAGUGGGGAGGCCAACGUGUAUCCAGCGCCCUGGCACCUGAAGAUCAGAGGUGGUGAGAGGUGGCGCAUCAAGCACAGUCCUGAUGACACCAUCCUAUGGCCACCACCCUGAGCCUACUGUGGCUCCUGAGACCUUUCAUCUCUGAGCUUCUCGGUCCAGCACCAGGCUCAUCACCUAUUAUCUGGAUCUCCCUGAGCCCAAGAUUGGGAGUGGGGCUCCUGAUAAGAGGAAGAUGCUACACUGGUGGGGGCGAGGAGCCGCUAAUAGCUACAGUGGAAGGAAAUACUGAUUCCAGGAG
rnacentral:lncRNA from 1 species